rnacentral:ribozyme from 14 species
AAAAAAAAAAAAAAAAAAAAAAAUGGUAAGAUGACAACAACAACGCUAUAUGGAGACAAGUGAUAUCAACAGUAGCAUAAAUAUUUAGUUUAUACUUUUUUUUU